CGUAGUUUCCUCUGUUCUUUAACAUCAUCAUUUCUAUCCUACACUUAUUGCUCUCAGGUAAUAUAAGGAAAGCGCCAAUACUUAUCUUGUUAUUAAUGGUCAUUUAUAAAACGUCUUGUCUCCUAGAUACAAGGAACACACAGUGAUAUUGCUAUCUCAAUUACGAUGAAGGUAGCUUUCGGAGAAUUCAUGGCAUGUAGUGUAAUAUUACCACGUGUAGUCACAUAAUACUGCUGCUAACACUGGGUGUGCGGAGACAUACACCGUAUUUUAUACACACAUACAUUCUCUCUUGUAUUUUUCUUCACUUUAAUUUUAUUCAUUUAUUAAAGAUUAUAUUUUAACGCUACGUUUUAUUUGGAAUUUUUUCAGUCAAGUUUACUGAUUUAUUGAUCUCCUCUUUUCAGCAUUGCCAUUAUGAAAGCUAAUUCCAAGGAUUUGUUAAAUAUUCUUUUCGUCAUAUCUGUUUCUUCUUCCAUCUAGAUGCUACAAUUCUACGAAGUUUGUUAGUAAGGUACGCGUAUAAACCUGACAGAGGUCGGAGAGCCACCAGGAAUACUGAAAACGAGGGCGAACCUGAUGCGAAAUCAAGGAGCUUGUAGGAUGGAAUCCUGGUAACCGCAGGAGAGUGAAACUUUGUAAACGAACCCGAUGUGAAAUCAGAAUGUCACUACAAUGAAAGUUUGCGGACGAAUCUAAUACGGAAUCGCAAACGUAAGGGCAGCACGCGUGAUGGAGUUUCGCAACAAGCUUGUUUCUCUCGAUCAAGGAGAGCUCGUCGGAGCGUAAGAUUUCCAGACAAGCUGCGACUCUACAGAAACGCCUUGCACAGGAAUGCUUUUACCUGAAGCUCACGUGUCACUGACAGCAAUGCAAGAGUCGUUCUCAUGUACAUACGCACAGGUAUGCGAAUAGAGCUACGUGGUCGAAGGUUUGUUCCGUAGACACGUACACGUAGCACAAAGCUGCGGACCGUGAGACAAGCUUUGAUCGCCUGGUAGAAUCGUGUACACAGUAAAUGCACUUGGACGUUAGUGCAGUGGCAUGUAUGUGGCAGGACGCAACAUGGGGAUCGUAGGAACAUCGUCUACCGUUCAUGGUCUUACUACCUACGCACCGUCCGUGGCAAGUCUUCCAUUAGUAUAAAAGCAGAAACACAGUUACACUUUGUUUCAACGUAUGCCGCGCCAUGAAAUUAGUAUUAAAUUGCUAGUUACAGGUCCUGUUAGUUCUGAUUGGUGGCGUUUGAUUUACGUACCGUGUAAAAUGCUAAAUAUGAAACAUUAUAUAGAAAAUAUGUUAAAUGGAGCUAUAAUAUUGCAGAACAUGACGUUAAUUGGUAUUUAAAUAUGCCAACAAUGUGUGCCAUUUUGCUAUCACAAUGUUUUAAUCGGUGUUUGAGUACGCCAAUCGUGUUGUCUCUACGAUAUUUGAAUUUAUACAAUAUUUAUUGUUUAUAAAGUAAUUGCGACGAAUAAGAUAAUAAAGCUGUCGAUAAUUUGUUGAAGCAAUUGUUUGUCUAAUAACUAGGUGUAAUGUAACAGAAAAUGUUCUCUGAAA